UCUGCGGAUCCACCUGGGCAGUGUUGAGUGGGCUAGACACGGGGUAAUCCCAGAGGAGAGCAAAUAUAAAUGUCCAGCUUUUUCAUAGGUGGAAAAGAAUGAGGAGAGAAGUACAGAGAGGCAGAGAUGUCGAGAGAUUCAGGGAAGCAGAAAGAGAGAGAUACAGAGACAUACAUAGAUACAUACAUACCAGUUCUUGCUUCCUGCUAAUCCCUGCUGAGAUUAUCAAUAAAGAAAGGAUGUUUUAUACCUCAAGAUCAGCUCAUCUUCAUGUGUAUCUGGUGAAGGUCAGUAUGUAUAGCCUUGGCAAUCAGUAGCCUCAGAGAGAGGUUUACAAAUGGUGCCCAAACAGUGACAGAAUUGGCCAAAGAUCCCAUGAGUUCACAUAGUCCAAUUGUGGAAAGGAAGAUGAGACCCCAAGACUGAGAGUAGGUCUGGGAUGGAAGAUGGGACAGGUUUUUGUUAGGGUCCCAGAUCAAGAGGUGCUGGAGAAGGAAGUUUAUAGAAUAGUAAAGCAAUCAGAAACUAGAUGUGACAUCACAGGAAGAGGCAGUGGGGAAAAGAAGCAGGAAGCAGAGAGAUUUACAGACAGAAUUAGGAUAUAUGUUACAGAAGGCAGUGAAUGAAGGGGACCAGGAAGCAAGGAUUUGGCUAGUCCCUUGUCCCAUGUUAAAAGGCCCCCAGGAAAAGAUGUGGGCCCCAUUAGAGUGGGAGAAACUUAAGGAAUUGAAAGAGGCAGUUAACACUUAUGAGGUUGAAUCUCCAUAUGUUAAGGAGCUGUUGGCUCUCCUAGCUUCCAUUAAUAUACUAACCCCUAAUGAUUGGGAGACUCUUGCUAAAGUCUGCCUUACACUUGGGGAGUCUCUGCAGUGGAUGACUCUGUUUUCAGACUUAUCAAAAAAAAACUUUGUAGACAUGGCCUAGAUGAACCUUUCUCUGAUUUUGUGGCUCCCUACAGGUGGCUGUUGAGAGAUUAGUAGGUAAAGGAGAAGCAGCUGGUCUUCUUAUCUGGAAGUUAGCUAGAGAGAAACCUAACGCCCAUAUUAGCCAUGUCCUCCUUAGAUAAGGACACAAGCCUUGAGAAGAUGAUAAAAAGAUGGGAGAAUGUUGGCUCCAGUGCCUUUCCAAUGGAUACUCUCGUAGCUGCUAUUUCUAGAAGAGUACAUGAUGUGAUUGUACACAAUAGACUUGAGCUCACCAGCUCCCGUGUCUGGAUGCUCUGUUGAACAAAGAACCACCACUCCAUGAGGCAGUAGCCAGAGACUCCAAAGGCCUGGGAUUAGACAAGACUGUCGAUCAGUAAUCUUGGCGGGAGGUUACAAGUAGCAGCCCAACAAGGAGGCAGAGCUUUCAAGAUUGCCAGGUCCCACAAGGGAAGGUUGAAUGUUCUUAUCAAAAGACGGGAAGGCAAGGAAGUGGAAUGGGUCUGGGUUUAAGUUUACCUGUGAUCAUGCCUGGUGACAUAGCUGUGCACACAGCUCAAGUAUAUAAGUUAGGGAGCCAGACGGGUAGACGUGGAUAAAGCCUUACAGGACAGAAAACUACAUCCUAUGAAAACAGCGCUUCACGCGCCAGAGAACAUCCAAAAGGUCCUUUGAAAGGAUGAGGAAGGACACUGGCAAGGUCUAUCCUUAGUACUUUGGAGAGAGCCGAGAUAGUUGUGUCUUGCAGGGUCUGAUGGGGAAAGCUGCUGGAUUGCAGAAAGAAAAACAAGGAAAGUUGAUUCUUCCAGACUCUGAAUCAUGAAAUGCCAGCUACUUGACCAACCUGAAAUCACCUGAAACCUGAUCCUGACACUCAGCACUGGAUGCUGCUGCUGCUGCCUACAAGUCACUCAUCUCCCUUCUUCAGUCCAGACCCCACUGGACAGGGCCAUCACUACGCCCCUUGUCAGCCUGAAGCAGCUCCAGAAGAUGAGACCUUCAUCCUUUUGCCACAGAAGGGUCUGGAUCUGACUGCCUGAGGUGGUCCCUUAUAGAAAACUUGGGGAAAUUCUUCUACAGCUCUGGUACCAACACUUGACCAAGCACACUUCCCUUCUCAUCCCCUCUGUUGUAUCUGUAUUGUUACUUUUUCUACUUUAAGCCUAUGUUUUUAUGUAUAUGCAUUUUUAGAAAAUCUCUAGAGGUGCUUAAGGCAUAAACAGAAAAACCCAGCAUUUUUAAACAGAAAGGGGGAGAUAUUAGGGACUUUUCUCCUUCUGAGAAUUGCCAUGUAUGCCAUGUUGGCUUGGUAGGGUGGACCCAGGAGGUAGAAGAGGGCUUGGCCUCUGAGGCAGGAGGUUGUAUCUUACAGGUAUUUCAUUGAGAUGGCGAGGAGUGUGUCCUCUUGCCAGAUCUUUUCUUAGGAUGCAGCACUAACUUCAGGUGUCUCCCUUCUGCAGAUCCACCUACACUGUGCUGAGCGGACUGGACACAGGGUAAUCCCAGAGGAGAGUAGAUAUAAAUAACCAGCUUUGAGUCCAUAGGUGGGGAAGAAUGCAGAGAGAAGUAGAGAGAGGCAGAGAAACGGAGAGAGAGAAACACAUAGACAUACAUAUACUUGUUCUUGCUUCCUGCUGACCCCUGCUGAGAUUAUCAAUAAAGAAAGGCUGUUUUGCACCUCAAGUACUCCAUGGUUAUAGGGUAUCUAAAGUGGAAACUGCCUUGAUUAACUCGACCCCUGUUUGAACAUCCUCUUGACUGCUGUCUCAUCACUCCUUACCUGAUAUCAAGACUUAGGCUGGUCCUGAAGUCCUUCUCAAGAAGACUGCUUCAAAUGGAGUCAUGGAGUUGUUAGUCCCUGUCCUAGACCUUUCUGUCCAUAGCAAGAAGACUGCUUCAAAUGGAGUCAUGGAGUUGUUAGUCCCUGUCCUAGACCUUUAAAUCACUUCCCAAACAUGUUAUUGUAUGCACGUCUGCAUAGUCUGGAUUUCUUGUUGUGAGCUUCUCCCAUAUCUAUAUUCUCAUUCUUGGUUUGAAUCCUGAACUUUGACAAUACAUUCUUCCCCAUCAUUGUGCUUUAUUUUACCUAGUUUGAGCUUCCAGACACUAUCUAUAUAAAAUAUGACCUUUAAUCACCAAUUUGGCUUCAAAGCUUGCCAAUGUUCUCCAUUUAUUUUCAUUGUCUGGAUUCUGACUUUGGUGUUGCUAUUAGCACAUAGAAUUAUUGUGCCACUCUAGUAGGCUACUUCAAAUGUGAUCCUGGUAAUCCCCAACCUGACACUGUUAUCCCUUUUUAAAGGCAUAUCUUUAUUCUAUAAUUCAUUUCAAACAAAUACAAAUAUUUUAUUGUA